ACGCACGCUGGCGGCAUGCCUAACACAUGCAGGUCGAACGAGACCUUCGGGUCUAGUGGCGCACGGGUGCGUCACGCGUGGGAACCUGCCCUUAGGUUCGGAAUAACUCCCCGAAAGGGGUGCUAAUACCGGAUAAUGUCUUCGGACCAAAGAUUUAUCGCCUUUGGAUGGGCCCGCGUUGGAUUAGCUAGUUGGUAGGGUAAAAGCCUACCAAGGCGACGAUCCAUAGCUGGUCUGAGAGGAUGAUCAGCCACACUGGGACUGAGACACGGCCCAGACUCCUACGGGAGGCAGCAGUGGGGAAUAUUGGACAAUGGGCGAAAGCCUGAUCCAGCAAUGCCGCGUGAGUGAUGAAGGCCUUAGGGUUGUAAAGCUCUUUUACCCGGGAUGAUAAUGACAGUACCGGGAGAAUAAGCUCCGGCUAACUCCGUG
rnacentral:rRNA from 1 species